GAUGAACGCUAGCUACAGGCUUAACACAUGCAAGUCGAGGGACCGGCGCACGGGUGCGUAACACGUAUCCAACCUGCCCUUUACUCGGGGAGAGACUUUCGAAAGCAAGAUUAAUACCCGAUAUCAAGGAUGGGGAUGCGUUCCUUUCGGUUGUUGGUGAGGUAACGGCUAACCAAGCCUUCGUUGGAGAGGGGUUCUGAGAGGAAGGUACCCCACAGUUGAUCUGAGACCCGGUCAAAACUCCUACGUGACGCAGCAGUGAGGAAUAUUGUUCACUGGGCGCUAGCCUGAACCAGCCAAGUAGCUGGAAGAAUGAAGGUUUAUGGGGCGGCUACUUCUUUUAUAGAAGAAGAGGGAUUAUAUGAAUAAGGAUCGGCUAACUCCGUGCCAGCAGCCGCGGUAAUAC
rnacentral:rRNA from 1 species